ACGAUACAUGUACUUACCUGCAGUGUACAGUUGUAUAUUCAAGAAACAAAGCUCAUUAAAUGUGCCUAUCUCUAUCAGUUACAUCACAGAUGGGAAUUAGCUUGUUUAAUAUUUAAUCAUUUUAUAGAUAUGCCUUAAAUCUGAGGAUAAAGGUGAUGUGCACUCUGAAGUAUCAUCAACAUGGAUGUCUGAUGCCAGUAUGUCCAUAAUGGGGCAGUAUAAGUGUCAAUCUUCAUAUGACAACAAGUUUUCAAAGGCAGAUAUAAGAAGGCAAAUAAAACUGAUGUAAAAUACGCCGGUAGUUGGAUAAAACAUACAAAGUCGGCAUAGCCAGAGGUCACAACAACAAUGGAGGAAUUAACUGCAUCUUCAUUUCUCCUGAAAUUCUUAAUUGAGGCUAAAUGCCCAUUUUCAGCUCGAACAAUGACAAUUAAAGAGGCCUGUGCAAAUGUUGGGAUUUCCCUCUUGAAUGUGAUGCAAGGGAUGGUUCGCUGCACCUCAAAACAAAGUAUGAAUAUUGGCAUCAGAUUCAAGGACAACAACACCUUAAAGACACCUAAUGCUGUGAUUUGCUAGUGUGGAUUCCUAUUGACACUCAAAUAGUUCACAUUGACAAAGAUGUAUUACGGUCAACAAACAUUUUAAGCGUGAUAGAGUUUAAUUAUAAUCAGUGAUUUUUCAACAUUUUUCAAAAGGGUUCUGUGACUUUUGAAUUUGGAAAAAUUGUCAACAUUUUGAUCAAAUUGGGAAAACCUAGACAUUAUUGUAAACAUGCUAAAUAUAUCACAUCAAACAAGAAAUCAAAACACAAAUUGAUGUCAUUUUUCUUUUAUUUUACAUAUUCAACUUUCGUUUCUUAAAGCUCUUAAAAUUUUCGACUAUUCUUUCUAAAUUAUUUAGAACUGAUGUGUCGUUGUCAUGUCGUACAUAAACUAUUCACAUUGAACUUAUUUUUUAACACAUACUUUUUUUGUCAGUUUUUAUUAUUGGGAAAAGUGCAAGUUGAAUUGGAAAAAUAUUGGUAAAAUUUGGAAGGGGAAAGGGCCUAUAUUCGGACCUAAAAUAGGUCUUUAAAAAAUCACUGAUAAUAAUAAAAUAUUUUGCAGUCUAAAACACACACAUAAACACAUGUACAUAUACUUUAUUAUGAUAGCAGUGGUGCAUCUAUCAAAGUUAUGUAAUUACAUGUGUACUAUUGAAUAAACAUUAUAGACAGA